rnacentral:rRNA from 1 species
AACGCGAAGAACCUUACCAGGCCUUGACAUCCUGAGAACCCUCCAGAGACGGAGGGGUGCCCUUCGGGGAGCUCAGAGACAGGUGCUGCAUGGCUGUCGUCAGCUCGUGUCGUGAGAUGUUCGGUUAAGUCCCGCAACGAGCGCAACCCUCGCCAUUAGUUGCCAGCAUUUCGGAUGGGCACUCUAGUGGGACUGCCUAUGAAAGUAGGAGGAAGGCGGGGAUGAUGUCUAGUCUGCAUGGUCCUUACGGCCUGGGCGACACACGUGCUACAAUGGCCGGUACAACGCGCUGCCACCUCGCGAGAGGGAGCUAAUCGUUAAAGCCGGUCCCAGUUCAGAUUGCAGUCUGCAACUCGACUGCAUGAAGUUGGAAUCGCUAGUAAUCGCGGAUCAGCCAUGCCGCGGUGAAUACGUUCCCGGGUCUUGUACACACCG